GAUGAACGCUGGCGGCGUGCCUAAUACAUGCAAGUCGAGCGAAGAGGGGACGGGUGAGUAACACGUGGAUAACCUCCUAUAAGACUGGGAUAACCUCGGGAAACCGGAGCUAAACCGGAUACUUAUAGUUGGAUCUGCGCUGCAUUAGCUAGUUGGUAAGGUAACGGCUUACCAUGGCAACGAUGCAUAGCCGACCUGAGAGGGUGAUCGACCACAGUUGAACUGAGACACGGUCCAGACACCAACGGGAGGCAGAAGAAGGGGAUCUUCAGCAAUAGUCGAAAGCCUGACGGAGCAACGCCGCGUGAGUGGUGAAGGUCUUCGGAUCGUAAAACUCUGUUAAUAGGGAAGCGGUACCGAAACAGAAAGCCACGGCUAACUACGUGCCAGCAGCCGCGGUAAUAC
rnacentral:rRNA from 1 species